rnacentral:sRNA from 1 species
CUCAUAAAUCCGCACACGCGCCGACACAUUUUCCAGGGUGCUUUGGGUGAUGAACUCAGAGUUUGGUUAAUGGGGCGCGUGGAGGCCAAAC